rnacentral:tRNA from 1 species
AAUUAAUGAGCUUGAACAAGCAUAUGUUUUGAAAACAUAAGAUGAUAAUAAUUUAUUAUUAAUUU